GACAGAGGGUGCAAACGUUGUUCGGAAUUACUGGGCGUAAAGCGCGUGUAGGCGGCUCGGAAAGUCGGAUGUGAAAGCCCUGGGCUCAACCCAGGAAGUGCAUUCGAAACUCCCGAGCUUGAGUACCGGAGAGGAAGGCGGAAUUCUCGGUGUAGAGGUGAAAUUCGUAGAUAUCGAGAGGAACACCGGUGGCGAAGGCGGCCUUCUGGACGGAAACUGACGCUGAGACGCGAAAGCGUGGGGAG
rnacentral:rRNA from 1 species